rnacentral:rRNA from 1 species
AUUGAACGCUGGCGGCAGGCCUAACACAUGCAAGUCGAACGGUAACAGGAAGAAGCUUGCUUCUUUGCUGACGAGUGGCGGACGGGUGAGUAAUGUCUGGGAAACUGCCUGAUGGAGGGGGAUAACUACUGGAAACGGUAGCUAAUACCGCAUAACGUCGCAAGACCAAAGAGGGGGACCUUCGGGCCUCUUGUCAUCGGAUGUGCCCAGAUGGGAUUCGCUUGGAGGUGGGGUAACGGCUCCCCUAGGGGACGAUCCCUAGCUGGUCCGAGAGGAUGACCAGCGACACUGGAACUGAGACACGAUCCAGACUCCUACGGGAGGCAGCAGUGGGGAAUAUUGCACAAGGGGGGCAAGCCUGAUGCAGCCAUGCCGCGUGUAUGAAGAAGGCCUGCGGGUUGUAAAGUACUUUAGCGGGGAGGAAGGGAGUAAAGUUAAUACCUUUGCUCAUUGACGUUACCCGCAGAAGAAGCACCGGCUAACUCCGUG